AAUUUUGUUUCUUGUAUAAUAAAUUAUAUACAUUUGUUUAUACUGGAUUAGGCAUGCAUUUUCGUUAACUGUAAUUUCGUUAGUUAUGUUCCAACAUUCCCUUCUUCUUGUGCCAACAUCAGUUAUUUUUAAGUCUUGGUUCCAAUAGUUUAUAUUUUUGAAGUGUUUCUGUAGCGCACAUGUGUUGGAGUUCGCAAAUCAAAUGCCCACUUGUGGUGCCACUGUUAAAAAAAACGGUUAAACUAAGCUAUUUUUAUGGUAAUUUCAAUUAGUUAAGUGUUUAGCUAGAUUACAUGGCUACCUCAAUCGUUAUUUCAAAUCAUUUUGGUGACUUCACAGCAACUGCUGUGAUAGAUAGCUAGCUAACGUUAGCAGCAUACGCUAGCUAUCCCGAUACGAAAUGUAUCUAGCUAGCUAGCAGGCUCCACUAAAUAAAAAUACCCUUUACUACAUUAUAUCUCAUAGCCACGUCUCAUAGCCACGUCAUGAGAUGUGUAAAUGAAAGAGGACUAGGUUGUCUCUAGCUAACUAAUAAUCAUUUUUUUUAUUACAGACACUGUUUGUGCAGGACAACAGAGUGGAAAAUCAGGUCCUGAUUAAGAUAUAUUUAUGGUGAAUCUAGGUCAGAAACCAGUUACCUAGCUAGGUCUAGGCCUAAUUGUUUUGUAUUGCUUUGCAUUGGUUCUCAUGUUAUGUUGCCUUGACUCUUAUCUCUGUUUAAUAAGCUCUCUAGGAAGAUAGCCAAGGAAGGCACUGAGCACCGAGCUGUCCCCACAACCCAAGUGCUUGAGAUGUCCUCCUCUACCUCAUUCCGUUCCUCAACAACUUCAUCCCCAGACUGCUGAACUGAUUGCUGACAUUGCUGACAGUGUUUCCUCAGGGGUGACCUGUGACGUAGUGGCAUCAGACGUGAGUUUUUCUCCUCCAUAGGAGGAGAAGAGGGCAAGUGGCCUGGCAGAGGAUGCUUAAACACUUCUAAUGACUCAUUUGGCCUGAAGGUGGUGCCUGCCGUCCUGCCUCCAUCUUCAUAUAGAAUAGAUGGAGAAAUUUUUCGACUCCCUUAUAUACAACCUGUUGGAACCAACAUGCAGUGCCUCCAGCAGGAAGAGAGGCCAGAACCGUUUGUCGGCCAGCUCAGGGUCAAGCUACACUGUUCACAGCCCUGUGUAAUGUUCAGUGUAAUUGCAUUGCUGGACUUUUUUUUAACUUUAAUGUAUUUGUAUUGUUCUAACGUUUUAAUUUGACAUCCCAUGUGUUAGGGAUAGAGAGGGUGAUAAGGUGGAGUAUUAAUGAGAAGGGGUUUAACAUGUACA